ensembl:lincRNA
GCAAAGCUUUGAGGGGUAUGUGCAUUUUUCUGAUAUAAAAUAAAUCUCUUUUACCAGAUUCUGUUCAGGAACCAUGACACAAAAGAUGAAAAACUACUGAGAUGCAGACAUUCAAGCAAAUGUCACAUUCCUGAUCACAGACUAAGGGAGAUGGGGAGAGGGCUACUGUGUAUCAUCUCAAUAGAGAUGAGCAAGCUUUCUUAUAACUAGACGUGGAAAAUGGAAAGAAAGAAGAAAAUCUGGAGGAAGGCAAAGGAAUUUUAAGCAGAGUUUCAAGAAAGUAGUUGAUACCUCUGUCUCUGAAGACAGUUGCUGAGCAAAAAGAAGGGAAAAAGCAAGACUUGGGG